rnacentral:rRNA from 1 species
CCUACGGGUGGCAGCAGUGAGGAAUAUUGGUCAAUGGGCGCGAGCCUGAACCAGCCAAGUAGCGUGAAGGAUGACUGCCCUACGGGUUGUAAACUUCUUUUAUAAAGGAAUAAAGUGAGGCACGUGUGCCUUUUUGUAUGUAUUUUAUGAAUAAGGAUCGGCUAACUCCGUGCCAGCAGCCGCGGUAAUACGGAGGAUCCGAGCGUUAUCCGGAUUUAUUGGGUUUAAAGGGAGCGUAGAUGGGUUGUUAAGUCAGUUGUGAAAGUUUGCGGCUAAACCGUAAAAUUGAAAUUGAUACUGGCAGCCUUGAGUACAGUGGAGGUAGGAGAAAUUCGUGGGGGAGCG